UCUCAGUUUGCACUGGCAGUCUCGCUAGAGUUCCCGACAUGACUCGCUGGCAACUAGCGACAGGGGUUGCGCUCGUUAUAGGACUUAACCUGACACCUCACGGCACGAGCUGACGACAACCAUGCAGCACCUUGUAGUCUGUCCGAAGAAAAAACUGUUUCCAGUCCUGUCAGACCACAUUUAAGCCCUGGUAAGGUUCCUCGCGUAUCAUCGAAUUAAACCACAUGCUCCACCGCUUGUGCGGGCCCCCGUCAAUUCCUUUGAGUUUCAACCUUGCGGUCGUACUUCCCAGGUGGGAUACUUAAUGCUUUCGCUCAGACACACACAGUGUAUCGCGUAUGUCGAGUAUCCAUAGUUUAGGGCGUGGACUAC
rnacentral:misc_RNA from 1 species